GAUCACCAGGUAGCAUUCCUCAGGGACAUCGGGUCGCAAGAUGUGCAACAUCUACGCGACACCAAACGUCAUUCGAAUGGGACAUAUAAUGCCAACUUGUGGGCAAAUAGAGGUCAUUGACCCCCCCAUACCCGCAACAUUUUCUGCAUCCCGAAGGCCAAGCGAAAUUCAUAGGCCGCAAUGCCAACGCAGAGCGUGUGCAAAACGGAACACGAAUUUCACUUUGAUGUUCACUCGAAGCCGCACCGAAAACGGGUAGCUGUAAGCGAACGUGUGAAGAAAUGACUAUCGAAUUCCAUGAAUGUAGGUACGCAACACAGGAAACCAGCAAAAUCGGCCCAGGCUAAAUUAGCUCUCGUGCCAACAAUUGAAGAGGAACACACGGUAAGACGUCGCUGCCAAAGCAGGGAUCCAA
rnacentral:misc_RNA from 1 species